rnacentral:rRNA from 1 species
AGUGAACGCUGGCGGUAGGCCUAACACAUGCAAGUCGAACGGCAGCACAGUAAGAGCUUGCUCUUACGGGUGGCGAGUGGCGGACGGGUGAGGAAUACAUCGGAAUCUACUUUUUCGUGGGGGAUAACGUAGGGAAACUUACGCUAAUACCGCAUACGACCUACGGGUGAAAGCAGGGGAUCUUCGGACCUUGCGCGAUUGAAUGAGCCGAUGUCGGAUUAGCUAGUUGGCGGGGUGAAGGCCCACCAAGGCGACGAUCCGUAGCUGGUCUGAGAGGAUGAUCAGCCACACUGGAACUGAGACACGGUCCAGACUCCUACGGGAGGCAGCAGUGGGGAAUAUUGGACAAUGGGCGCAAGCCUGAUCCAGCCAUACCGCGUGGGUGAAGAAGGCCUUCGGGCUGUAAAGCCCUUUUGUUGGGAAAGAAAAGCAGCAGGUUAAUACCCCGCUGUUCUGACGGUACCCAAAGAAUAAGCACCGGCUAACUUCGUG